rnacentral:lncRNA from 10 species
GUGAAGAAAGCACUAUAUUUGAAACUAUGUCCUUGGGAAACAGGCCUGGCCCUCAGAUGAAUGGAUUUCUGUGGAGUGAUACCAACUAGACCUGAAGACCCCCGCAUCCUUGAGGCCCUGUACAAGCCCUGGGCGAGUGCUGGACCUUGCUGAAUCUCAGCUUCCUCGUCAGUGAGCCGGUGACAGUGGGACCUCACUCUGCAUUGGGUGGAGAAUUAAAACUUUAGCCCAUGCCAGAAUCUGCAGAAAGCCAUUGGGAUUUUGCAGUAAAGAGCUGUCUCUGCCACUCACUGACUCUGGCUUGGUUCUGAAAGCCCUGUAAGCUUCCACUCCAUCCCACUGCCCAUCAGUCCCACUUUAAAUAAUGAAUCUAGGCACCGAGAGUGUGUGUGGACUAGCACUGAUGCAGACCACUUUACCAGAGCCAUCCUUCACAAGCAGUAUUCUCUUUGAUUUAAUUGAGUAACUCCUGAAAAACCUGUCUUCUUUAUUAAAUUUUCAUGAUUGAUAGCUUCAUCUGUCAAUUUUUGGUUUAUCACUUGGACUCCAUCAUUACACAGUAGGCCCUAAAGUUCUUCCGUGACAGAUCUCUGUCACUGGGGAUGGAGCACCACAGAGGCACAUAGACCUUUCAUAGAAUCCCCCUUUCAUCUUUCACUAGCUGGGUGCUUUGGGCAAACUGCUUGGAACCUUAGUUUCUUCAUCUGUAAUAUAGAAAUAAUAAUAACCAACCGGGCAAGGUGGCUCACGCCUGUAAUCCCAGCACUUUGGGAGGCUGAGGCAGGUGGAUCAGGAGUUUGAGCCCAGCCUAGCCAACAUGGUGAAACCCUGGCUCUAGUAAAAACACAAAAACCAGCUGGGCAUGGUGGCACACACCUGUAAUCCCAGCUACAAGGGAGGCUGAGGCAUGAGAAUCACUUGAACCUGGGAGUUGGAGUUUGCACUGAGCCAAGAUCAUGCUAUUGCACUCCAGCCUGGGCAACAAGAGCAAAACUCCGUCUCAAAACAAACAAACAAAACUGGUCUAUCAGUCACACAGCUCCAAAGAAGUGAAUUCUGUCGACACUAAGAAUGAGCUUGGGAGCAAAUUCUCCCCCAGUCAAGCUUCUCUAUGAGAACACAGCCCAGCCCAACUGUGGCAGCAGCCUCAUGAGGCCCUGAGCUGAGGAGCCAGCUAAGCUGUGCCCAGACUCCUCACCCCUGGAAACUCGCUUAAAAGUGUGAAAAUAAAUGUGCAUAGUUUUUAACACACUGUGGUGCUUUGUUCCACAUCAUAGAAAACUAAUACAACAUGAAAAUACUGAAAAUUUCUAGCGCCUCAAAAGACUCCCUUAUGUGCCCCUCCCCCCCGUUAGCAAUGCCCAGUACCCCAAAGGUAAACAUUAAUGUUUAUUGCCAUAAAUUACUUCUGUUUUUGAACUUCAUAUAAAUGGAGUCAUGCAGGAUGUAUACUUUUGUGUCUGACUUCCUUAACAGUAUGUCUGAGAUUCAUCCAUGUUGCUCUGUGUAACACUUGUUCAUUUUUUUCAUUGCUGUGUAG